rnacentral:rRNA from 1 species
CGCCUCUUGAUAACAUAUAAGAGGUCUUGCCUGCCCAGUGACGCAAGUUUAACGGCCGCGGUAUUUUGACCGUGCAAAGGUAGCGUAAUCAAUCGUCUUUUAAAUGGAGACCUGUAUGAAUGGUAAAACGAAAACUCAACUGUCUCAUUCUUUCAGCCAAUGAAACUGAUCUCUCCGUGCGGAAGCGGGGAUGAACACAUAAGACAAGAAGACCCUGUGGAGCUUUAGAUUUCUGCUUACAUCUUAGAUUGGGGCGAUCACGGAGAAAAUAUACCCUCCACGAAGAAAAACAUAGUUAAGAGCCACAGCUCUAAACACUAAUACAUUUAACUCUAUGAACCGGCUUGCCGAUUAACGAACCUAGUUACCCCAGGGAUAACAGCGCAAUCCCCUUAAAGAGCACUUAUCACUAAGGGGGUUUACGACCUCGAUGUUGGAUCAGGACAUCCUAAUGGCGCACCAACUAUUAAGGGUUCGUUUGUUCAACGAUUAAAGUCCU